GUUGAAACACCGAUUCCCGUCUGAUCACCGAAGUUAAACAAAAUCGAACCUCGUCAGUGCCUUGAUGGGUGACCGCCUGGAAAUAGUAGGUGUUGCAAG